rnacentral:rRNA from 1 species
UACAGAGGGGGCGAGCGUUGUUCGGAAUUACUGGGCGUAAAGGGCGCGUAGGCGGCCUUCUAAGUCGAACGUGAAAUCCCCGGGCUCAACCCGGGAACUGCGUCCGAUACUGGGAGGCUUGAAUCCGGGAGAGGGAUGUGGAAUACCCGGUGGAGCGGUGAAAUGCGUAGAGAUCGGGUGGAACACCAGGGGCGAAGGCGGCAUCCUGGCGGUCAACUGACGCUGAGGCGCGAGAGCGUGGGGAGCAAACGGG